UGCUGGAAACAUUGCCUGAGAUGAGAAAGAGACAAUUUCAGUCAUUGUUUCUGGUAGU
rnacentral:pre_miRNA from 1 species